UUGGCCCUGAAUCAAGGCUGCUGGCUUGCUGUAGCCACUGGUUUCAAACAGGCGCCCAAAGAAAUGUCUUCCUAUGGUCUGUUGGCUGUUCAAUUGCUUUAGACUUAGAAUAGCCAAUUCAAUUGGAAGCAACAAGC
rnacentral:snoRNA from 2 species